rnacentral:rRNA from 1 species
UACGUAGGGUGCAAGCGUUAAUCGGAAUUACUGGGCGUAAAGCGUGCGCAGGCGGUUCGCUAAGACAGAUGUGAAAUCCCCGGGCUUAACCUGGGAACUGCAUUUGUGACUGGCGGGCUAGAGUAUGGCAGAGGGGGGUAGAAUUCCACGUGUAGCAGUGAAAUGCGUAGAGAUCCGGAGGAACACCAGCGGCGAAGGCGGCAUCCUGGACUGGUCCUGACACUCAGGAGCGAAAGCGUGGGGAGCGAUCCGG